GGUGGUGCGAUGGUUUCGCGCAGACUGUAAAUCUGCCGGCUCAGCCUUCCCAGGUUCGAAUCCUGGCGCCGCCA
rnacentral:tRNA from 1 species